GCCUUGGUAGCUCAGCUGGUAGAGCAGUAGACUGAAAAUCUACGUGUCGGUGGUUCGACUCCGCCCCAAGGCACCA
rnacentral:tRNA from 1 species